GUAGAGAUCCAUGGCAUUGUCUAAUGGAUCAUAGUUUUCUUGGGAUGAAUGGGAUAAAAAAGUGAGCUAGAACUUUGCUUGACUCAUACAAUUAAAAAAUGAAAUCAAGAACAGCUGAAAAGAAACGUGCUAUGUUCCUAUAUUGGAAAAUUGUGAUCUAUUGCCCAACUUCCAUACCUUAGGCAGUUAUCAUACUCAGAGAGCAUCAACUGAAGGAGAAAUUGUGUCCCAUAUAGGACACAGGAUCGGAAAUGAUACUGGUAUCAAAGAAUCUAAAAAUACCUUCAUGAGUUCUUAGCGUGGCCAGGUGAAUAAUGAGUCCUGGCCCAGAUCUAUGAUUCAGCAUAUACAGUAGGUCCACAGACUCAGUAUGUCCCUAGUCAUUGUGUGCAUAAUUGGGAUUGAUUUUUUUUUUUAGCAGAGGAAGAAUGCUCACUUUGUUUCUCUGACCUAUGGAGUAAGAACCAUUAUGGUAAAAGGGUUCAGUUAAGUGAAACCGCUUGACUUCUGCUAUUCUAAUGUCCUAUCACCUCUGAAAUAGUUUCUUUCAGUCGUUACAAUAAGUCAGAGCCACACUGCAUUCUUGGUGGAAUUGCAGAAAUUAAUAUUAUUUUUGAGUAUACAAAGACUACAGAAGUGAAGGUGUCCAUAAUAUUUCUGUUCAGUUCACUGAUACCAUUCGUGAAAAGUGGAUGGUUGAAAGCUAAUCAUAGUGAAUCAAGUCAAGUGAUAGUCCCCAAAGUAUGGUUUUACUGGAGUGUAGUAUCGCAGGUCUGGGUCUAGCCUAUGGAACUUAGUACGUGGCUGCUGAUUUGGCAAAUGUUUCUUUUCCAAUCUGAAAAAAGAGGAUCAAAGCAGCGAACAUUUACACAGGAAAGUCAGCAAAAUAUAUUCCAUGCUGCAAGUUUAUGUUAACUCUCCUGCUUUCUGACACAGUAUCAUAGGAAGGGACCUUUGAACAUCUUGAUAUUCUACAGAAACACCAGAGUAUUCCUUUUGCUGACAAUGUCAUGUCAAUUGGGCUGUUGUACAAGAAGUGAGAAGAAAUCUGAAUACUAUGGCAAGACCCAUGGGUGCCAUUGCUUAGGAGUGAAUCCUUCAGUGAUUUAGGGGCUGCCAUAAGUAUGAAAUUUGUAGGGCUCCAAUGAUUUUGACUAUAUAGGGAUAUGCUUUUUAAAGUAAUGCAAAGGCUGAGAUCUAGCUGAGUGAUAAAAUACUUCCCUAGCAUUCAUGAAGCCUUGGGUUCAAUCUUUAGCACUGAAAAAAAAGUCUGCCUUUCAGCCAGGUGUGGUGGUGCAGUGUACACCUGUAAUCCCAGCACCUGGGUGGCUGAGGCAGGAGAAUCACUGCUAGUUCAAGGUCAGCCUGAGCUACAUAGUGAAUUCAAGCCCAGCCUGAACUUCAUAGUGAGACCUUGUCUCAAAUCCUCCCCCCUGAAAUAAAGUAAAGCUAAUGUUAUUCUACUUUGAACUUCCUAACACCCCCCCCACACACACACUCACACACACGCACACACACAAAGCAUAGCACAGUAGCAGUGAGCCUCUGUUAGUCAGCUUUCCCUUCACUGGGACAUAAUACCUUAUACCUCAAACUUAAAGUAGGAGAAGUUAAUUUGGUUAACAGUUUCUGGGGAUUCAGUCCAUGGCCAGGUGGCUCCAAGGCAGAAACAUUAUGGCCGAAAGGUGUGACAGGGCCAAGAAGCUUGUUUCAGGGUGUUGGGGAAGUACAGCAGGGGAACAGUGCCAAAAAAGAUGUGAAGGAUUAGCUAUAGUACUCAAGGCAUGCCUCUGUUACCCACUCAGACACACCCAGCAGUGUGCCCCUCCAGUCCUCUCAGUGGCUUCCAAGCCAUUGAAGUUGACACAGUCAAGCUUAACCAUCACAGCCUCUUUGAGUUUUGGAAGCAGUAAAAUUAUACUUGAAAGUACUUCUCUGAGCUGUUAGCUAAACUGGGAGAUUGUAUCUAGAGUAACACUCAGAGUGGGAAAAAAGGCUCAAAAGGAGGUUGUAAGACCAGGCAGCCUAUAGAAUUAGGAGUAAUCAUGCUGUGCAGGGAUGAUGUGUGGUAUUUCAGGAAAGCACUGACAAGAGCUUUACAAGGAAGACCUCCAGGAUUGGCACAGCUGUAACUUCUGCAUUGGAGAAGUACUCUUAAAAAUCCACCUCUAGAACACUAUUAUAAAACAAAUUGAGUACCCAGCCACGGAGAUGUCAAAUAAGUAUGGACUUUAUUAUGAGUUAUACCCCCCACCCCAAGUCAUAAUGCAGAGAAGAUGAAGUUACAGUAUUGUUUGGUGGAAAUAGUACAUUUGGGAGCAGGUAAGAGGACAUGGAAUGUGAUAGGAAUAAGAGAUCUGACCUCCAUGUUACUUAACUUCCUUUACACUCAUUUAUCUCUCUCAGCUCACCCAUAUGGCUUCUCAUGAGUUCCCUAUGAAUAACUUAACAGAGGAGAAGAAUAUGUAGCCUGGUUUUUAGGUGGGUUGGCUCCAUAUAUUGGUGAUAUUGGUGAGCUGCGACCGCAGGUUGGCCCUACUUGGAGAGUAGCCUAGAUGAGGUGCGGGUGCUCCCUAUGGGUGGAGCUCCGAAUGCUACACUUGGUAGAACACAAGUGCUGUGAGUGCUGGCAAAUGAGUUGGUUGGUUGUUCAGGGGCCAGAAAGGAACAAGAUUGAAGGUCUGGAGAAGAAGAAAGUGGAUGGAGUGGUGAGAGUGGGCACACAAGUUUUUGUGUUCAAAGCAGUGUCAGAGAGCAUUCCUGGGAGAGAGGGCAUUUGACAAUAAGUUGGGUACAAAAUGAUGCAUGUAGAGGAUGUUAGCCUCUGUCCAUGCUUGGGCUAUAGGCCCAAGAAUGGAGUAGCCAUGUGUUUCACUUACCUAUUACCAUAUAACAAACUCUAACCAAAUACAAGGCCUUAAAAGAACAGUGGUUCUUGUAAAAAAAAAAAGUUUGUCAUGAUUCUGUGGAAUAAACAGGUGCUUUCAAAAAAUAAAAAAAACAAACAGGUGCUUUCUCCGCACUACUGGAUUCUAGGUAGACUAAAGUUGCUGACUAGGAGCUGUGGGGCUCCUUCACAAAGCUCCUCUACCUAGCUAGCUUGGGCUUCCUCAUGGCAUGUAGGUUUCAGAGUAGACCUUUCCCCUGGUGGCUGGCUUCUAAGAAGAAGUAGAAAAAUGGAAGCUACAUGUUUCUUACUGCUGAGAAGCCAUUCCAAAGCAUAGUGGUUCAAAACCAAAAUGAUUUAUUAUUUCUCGUCCUUCUUUUGGUUAGGGAUUUGGUCCAGGCUGGGAUGGAUGGUUAUCUGCUCCAUAUGAUGUUAGACACUUCUUUAAUUGGUGGCCUGUUUGGGUCUUUAGGGUCAGGAAAUCUUCAUUCACCUGUCUGGCUUCUCAGUGUUUCUUUUUUUUUUUUUUUUUAAAUGUGUUCAGGAUCAUCAUUCAUUUAGCCCAAGAUUUUAUGCAGCAUAAUAUGAGUUUAUAUUCCCUGCCCACAGUGCUUCUAUCAUUAUUAGUGUCUUUCCACUUUCUGUACCUGACAUGGAUCCUUUGUAGCAUUGUUUUGGACCAGAGCACCCACUUGAGAGGGCAAAGGAUGUGUGACCAUAAGCUCAUGAUCACAAGAUCCACAGUUAUACAAUAUAACACAUUGCUUGGAAAUAAGGCUUGAUAAAAUAUAGGAAUGGCUCAGUAAGGCUUAGUUAAGAGGAGAGGUUGUGGACAAUACUAUGUGGACUUAGGCCACUGUCUUCCACUUCUGAGGUGCAUGAUACCAGGUUCCUCAGUAGGCUCAGAACUGUAAUGGGUUACCUACAGAUGUAACCAGCCCAAAACAGAUCCUCUAAUGCCUAUUCUUUCUUCAUUCCCUUAAUCUUCCAUCUUGCUUACUCUGUUUCCAAAAGUUAUCUUUCAAAUGAGCUACCUGACAGUGUCUAUAUCUCAGGCUCUAGUUCAGACAAAAUCCAUACUUAGGCACUUUUUAGGAUAUGCUACUUUUUGUGAUUAUGACAAAAAUGAAAAUUAACAUUUUUAGCAUAUGAAGUGUUUUUAUUUUUUUUAAGUAGAUUCUUUGAAUUGGAAUUUUUGGAUUAAAAUGUGUGGAUUGGGGCUGGGGAAUUGGCUUGGUGGUUCUGCCACCUGCCUUGCAAGCACAAGGACCCAAGUUCGAUCCCUGGUACCAAAAAAAAACAAACAAAAAAACCCCCAUAAAAUGUGUGGAUUGAGUUUAAGCCUCUUGCCCAAACUGUCAGUUAAGAAUAGUGUAGUAAUUUGUAUUAUUUUUACAAGUAUAUGUGGUUAUAUUUCAUUUUCUUUGUUAAUUUUCUAUUUUGGACAUUUCAAGAAAACAGCUUGUGAGAUCUGUGGCUUAUUUUGAAAGUCAUAAAGUAAGAUUGACAUGAAAUGAUGGUUCUCAAGUCAUAUCAUUAGGAAAGUUCACUCCUUUCUCACUGAGAGAGAGUAGGAAAAGGAAAAAGGCUAACCACAAGUAUCCUUCAAAAGAAAUUCCCAGAAAAAAGUUAAUGUAUAUGAAAGUCAUAAUCAUAGGGAUCUGAACAUUUUCUGAUAAAUUAUUUCCAUCAAAUUGCAGUGGGUUUUAGAGGGCCAAAUUAAAACCUUGUCUCACAUAAGGGCUUUACUAGGCAGCAAAAUAUAAGUUAAACCUGUUGUCUUUUUAUUUUAUUUUAUUUUUUGGUAUGGGGGAUCGAACUCAGGUCCUUGUGCUUGUGAGGUAGGCAAUGGAACCACUGAGCUAAAUCCCCAGCCCCUGUUGUCUUUUAAUAAGGGUAGAUUGUGGUUAACACGUGCAUGUAGAAAGUAAAAAAAGAAUAAGCUAAAUUUUUUUCCUUAAGGUUUAUACCGUUCUUUUCUCUUUCUGGAUAUAACCCACAUCCUUUAGGUGAAGAAAAAUUGACCUUAAAAACAGUUGACUUUUCUGGUAAAGCAGUGUUCCUCUUUGCAACGAGAAACCUCAAAUUUGAAGCCCAGUUAUUUAGUUGAUAUCAAAGAGUUAUUUUUAAAAUGAGUUCCUGUAAAACAUUGUGUGAAAAAUUUUAAGGGAGAGUGCACAAGUACCCCACUAGUUUUAUUUUAGUGUUUCUAAACUUUAGCCUUAGCUGCUACUUCUAAGGUCAACAAAUUAUAGGGGACUGGAGAGUUUUAAAACCAGCAUACCACCCACAUUACUUAAACAUUUGUCAUUUUUUAGAAAAAGAAGUUUUGUUUCAAGUGGACGUCUAUUUCUUAUUUUUCCCAAAGUCUCAAGUUGAUGGAAAGUGUACUUUACAAAAUAAUAAUCCAUGAGUUUCUGGAUAAUGAAGAGAGAUAUCAACAGAUAAUCAGAAGAACUGGAGAAUUCUUGAAUGAUAGAAAGCAGAACAUGCUAUAUGGGUGGGAAAAAAUCAGAAGAAUAGAAGAACAAAAGAAUGACAAUGGCAAGAAUUUAAGAUUAUUUAUUGGCAUGAGAACUCAGCGCAACAAAGGAAACAGAGUGAGGAGACACCUGCAAAAAUAGAAUAUAUUUGCAAACUUUUCCCCUGAAAAGGGUUAAUAUCUAGAUAAACAAGAAACUCAAACAACUCAACAGCAAAAAAGAAAAUAACUUGAUUAAAAAGUGGGCAAGAGACCUAGAUACAUACUUCUCAAAAGAGGCCAUAUGGUGGUCAACAGGUAUAGGAAGAAAUACUGAACAUCAUGACUCUGCAGGAAAUGCAAAUCAAAGCUACAGUGAAGCUGGGCAUGGUGGCACAUGCCUUUAAUCCCAGCUACUCUAGAGGUGGAGGCAGGAUUGCAAGUUCAAGCUAGCCUGGGCAAUGUAGGGAGAUCCUAUGUCAAAAAAAAAACAAAAAACCCCAAAACCAAACUAAAAUAAAGGAAAAAAAACCGAAAACAAUUUUACAAUGAGAUAUCACCUCCCCUUAAUUUAAAUGGCUACUCUCAGAAAGAUAAAAAUAACAAAUGCUGGCAUGGACACAGAGAAAUGGAAACUUAUAUUCAUUCCUGGUAGAAAUGUAAAUGGGUACAGCCAGUAUGGAAAACACUGUAAAGUUUCUACAAAAUACUUAAGGUAGAACUGCCAUAUGAUGGAGCAACCUCACUACUGGGUAUUUAUAUACAAAAGGAAAUGAAAUCAGUAUGUUGAAGAAAUAUCUGCAUUCCCAUGCUCAUUAUGGCACAAUCCCACAAUAGCUAAGAUGUGAAAUCAUACCAAAUGCCCAUCAACAAAUAGAAAAAGGAAAUGUGGUACGUAUACACAAUAGCAAUUAUUCAGUCUUAAAAAGAAAGAAUUCUGUCAUUUGUAGCAAAUGGAUGAAUCUGGAGAACAUUAAGUGAAAUAAUCAAGGCACAGAAAGACAAAUACUGCAUGAUCUCACUGAUCUGUGCAAGGUAUAAAGCUGGUCUUCUAGAAACACGGAGUAGAGUAGUGCUUUACCAGAGAUUGGGCAGUGGGGAUGUGAUGGUGGGGAGAGGUUGGUCAAUGAAUUCAAAAUUACAGUUAGAUAAGAAUAAGUUAUG
rnacentral:lncRNA from 1 species